rnacentral:rRNA from 1 species
GGUGUGAAUAUUGCACAAUGGGCGCAAGCCUGAUGCAGCCAUGCCGCGUGUGUGAAGAAGGCCUUCGGGUUGUAAAGCACUUUCAGUCGUGAGGAAGGUGGUGUAGUUAAUAGCUGCAUUAUUUGACGUUAGCGACAGAAGAAGCACCGGCUAACUCCGUGCCAGCAGCCGCGGUAAAAAAAAAAAAA